rnacentral:rRNA from 1 species
CACGUAGGGCGCAAGCGUUGUCCGGAAUUAUUGGGCGUAAAGAGCUCGUAGGCGGUCUGUUACGUCUGCUGUGAAAACCCAGGGCUUAACCCUGGGCUUGCAGUGGAUACGGGCAGACUAGAGGCAGGUAGGGGAGAAUGGAAUUCCCGGUGUAGAGGUGAAAUUCGUAGAUAUCGGGAGGAACACCAGUGGCGAAGGCGGCGACCUGGGCCAAUACUGACGCUGAGGUGCGAAAGCGUGGGGAGCAAACAGG